rnacentral:rRNA from 1 species
GACGUAGGGCGCAAGCGUUGUCCGGAAUUAUUGGGCGUAAAGAGCUUGUAGGCGGUUUGUCGCGUCUGCUGUGAAAAUCCAGGGCUCAACCCCGGACUUGCAGUGGGUACGGGCAGACUAGAGUGUGGUAGGGGAGACUGGAAUUCCUGGUGUAGCGGUGAAAUGCGCAGAUAUCAGGAGGAACACCGAUGGCGAAGGCAGGUCUCUGGGCCACUACUGACGCUGAGAAGCGAAAGCAUGGGGAGCGAACAGGAUUAGAUA